UUGGUGACCGAAUUGUGGAAACUGGAGAGACCAAAAGACGCAUAAAGAAGUUGCAGGUUGUGUGGCAUCAAUUGUACUCCUAAAACAAACUUCACUUCCAUUGAAAGCACAAAGGAGGAGUUUUGAGAGCAGCAAUGGUGUAACCAUGAGGAGCGACAGAAUGGAAAAUCGAAAUGCUACUGUUAUUCAAGAUUCAAUCAAACUCUCAGAAACGUAUAAGGGUUGCUAAAGGGGCGCAGUUUCCCUGUCAAAGUACUGAUUACACGGAGGUCAGACCCACUGGAUGACUCAACUAUGACAUCUCCAGAUAAUCAUGGAAGUCUAAGAGAUAGUGAGAUGGGACCAAGCCAACAGGCAGAUGGAUCUUAAGGAUGAACUGCAAAGUAGAAGCAAUCUGAAUGCUAGCUCAUCUGCUAGCCAGGCAAAAUCAUCAACGUCAAAUUCAGAACACACAUCCAACGAAGUACAGAAGCCAUCAAUUGGCUCAAGAGCUACUGAUUUGUCUAGGCUAAUGAAGUUCCCAAAAGAAUUAUCUGCAACAACUGUUAUUUUAGGGAUAUGCAACCCCUAGUUCAGAUAGAAGGGAGGGAGUUCUGAGAAGAAAGCGUCUAGAUUAUCUUGAUUGUGUUGCUCAGUACUAUGAUAUUCCAGAUAUCGAGCGAACAGAUGAAGAGAUCAACAUGCUUCGGCAGAUUGCUGUUGAUUGCCCUAGAACAGUGCCUGAUGUUUCUUUUUUCCAACAAGCACAAGUUCAGAAAUCCCUGGAGCACAUACUUUACCUAUGGUAAACUAUUUCUAUUUCUCUGUAUUCAUUUUUCUAUUUCUCUGUAUUCAUUAACUGUAACAUUCUCCUUGAAUUGUAGAAUUUCUCUACAAAGGGAAGAGGAAAGGAAAUAGCAUUACAUUUAUUUCUUUAGUUAAGAUGUGGAACUAGAUGAGAAAACAAAUGGGUUAUAAUGGGCUGUUGGCAUGUUCGAAAUUGGUAGUAGUCAUUAGGUGUGAGCAUUUGUCGGAUUAAACCGAAAAACCAAAGAUUAUUAGCUUAUCUACAUUAUAGUUACUGAUUAUAUUCCAUACACCAAGUAGCACACUAAGAUGUUGCUACAUACACUACCUUGUUCAUUCCGAUUACCAAAUAAACAUUGAUGGUUUUAGCAAUUAAGAGAAAAGUGACAAAUCCAAUAAACCAAAAGCCAAAACGGAUAAAAACCAAAUUAAGAGAAACCGAACGAAACUGAACUUAGGUUUUGAUUGGAUUGAAUUUUUUCAAAACUUAAAAUCUGAAUCCAAAUAAUACAAAACCAAAUUAGAAAAAGUAAUGCACACCCUACUAGCCGUCACCGUAAAGGCAGCCGAGAAAUAAAAAUUGAAGAAUUGAAGAUGCAUCGGCGCUCAUUAACCUUUAUUUAUUGCUCCUGCUGGUGUUCAUAACCUUCAAAAUUAUUGCUCAACCGGGAAUCCAGAGGCUCGUGUUUAAGCUAAAGGAAUUGGUUAGACGGAUAGAUGGUAAUGCUCUAAUGGUUUCUACUUUAUUCGUUGUCUUUAUCUACUGCCUAAUGCUAGAGAAUCUGGAAUUAUGGUGUAAAAAAUUAUUGGUUUUCAUGACACAUGAAACAAUGUACUCCCUCUGUUUCAAUCUAUUUGUUUCAUUUUCCUUUUUAGUCUGUUUAAAAAAGAGUGCAUGUUUCCUAAUUUGGCAACUCUUUUUAACUCCAAAUCCCACACAAUUAAAGUGCAUUUUGACACAUUAUGCAAAUCUUUAAUUCAAGACCACAAGAAUCAACAGUCUUCUUUACUUUCUUAAACUCCGUGUCUAGUCAAACUAAAACAAACAAUUGAAACAAAGGGGGUAAUAGUUUUAAAGGUUAAGCAAAUUUUUGUUUCACAUAUUAUGUCUUUUAUUUUGUGAAUAAGUUUAACUUUCUAUGACCUUAUGAAAGGGUACGUAUACCUCGAUGAUUUGACAGCAUUGUGAGAGUGUUUUACAGUUGGAAGCAGUAUUUAUUUCAUUUAGUUUUCUUGGCCUGCUAAAAUUGCUCUGUAUUUAUUUGGUUGGAAAGAGUUACACAUGUAUUUCUGUCUGUUAUAAUUUGUUGAUGGAGGUGGUUGAAAGAUUGUUGUCUGAUAAUUGGAACUUGGAUCACCAUAAAAAUUUGGACAUGGUAAAGAGAUGCUGGAAAAAAGAAAAAAGACUCUGGAAGACCAAUUACUAGAAAAGAUCAAAAGAAGCUGAUAAAAUGAGCUAAGAAAGUACGAGCAAUCGUCAACACACAUGGAAGAGCAAGGGCUUGAGUUUCUCCAGUUUGCUUUUCGCUGGUUCAAUUGUCUCUUGAUACUCGAGAUCCCUUUCCAUCUUGUUACCCGAUUGUGGGAUACAUAUCUUGCAGUAGGUGAUGCACUGCCAGAUUUUCUUGUGUAUAUAGCUGCAAGCUUUCUUCUCACAUGGUCAGAUAAGCUGCUGAAGCUUGACUUCCAAUAGAUGGCUAUGUUCCUUCAACACCUUCCAACUCAUAACUGGAGUCAUUCUUCUCAUAUAUGAUGUGUUUAAUUAGAGAGAGUCCAUCAAAUGUAAAACAAAUUGAAAGCCUUAUUGUUAACUUCAUAUGUGAUAGUUGUAUACUAUACUUUUUUUCCAAUAAUUAUCAAUGGUCACUUGGAUUAUUGA